AUGCCUCCUAAGAUUAUUUCCAGCUCAGAGGUUCAGGGACUCUGCUGUUGUGAUGGGGAAGUCUCCGUUUGUCCGUCCAGAAGCUGGAGGGUCUUUGCCACAUUUCUGAUUCACCCGGAAGGAGGUGUUUGUGUGCAGCACCGAGAUUUACUGAUGAAAGAGGCCAGAGGAGCACAAAGAUUCCCUGAAGACUUAGACUCAGGUUCAUUUAACCCCAUCUUGGACUCUACUUCUCAGCAGACCCAGAAAGUUGACCUCCUAUGCACACUUCUUGAGGAAAAGCCAGCAACCACAAAGGUAGAAAGGAAGAGAGAAAAAAUGAGAAUGAGCAAGACAUGAGAUAUAAAUGGCAGUCCUAACCACAGCUCAGUCAAUAUGAAGUUGUGCAACAGGUCUGAGAAAGCAAGCAGAGGGAGUUUGGUUUGAAGAUAGUUAUUCAGUUACCUUUCCCCUCUCUCCCUGGAAUGGAUCCAAAAGCAACAAGGAGGAUGAGAAACAAAAAUGCAAAUGCCAUUUUGAGAGCAACUUAGAGGCAGCUAACACCCAGGUCCAUACAAUUGGGAAAAGGACUGUCAUGAACAGAGUGUGAUAGGGUCCUUGUACAGAGAAAGGAUGCUUCAGGGAGAAAAUGCCAUGGCCACAGCUCUCAGGAAAGCAGCAAAAGCACCCUUCUUAAAGAUGAGAGGCAACUUUGAUGGGCAACCCCCCAAACUCUUGUGUCUAAACAUGUUUUAGGAGUAUUCCAGCUGUUAGAGAAGCUUCCCUAAAUCUAGUUUUCUUCCCAAAUGCAGAGAAGAUGGAAUAAGAAAUCAUUCUGGUGGAGUUCCCUGGUGUCUCAGGGAGUUAAAGAUGCAGCAUUGUCACUGCUGUGGUGUGGGUUUGAUCCCUGGCCGGGGAACAUCCACAUGCCACAGGUGUGCCAAAAAAGAGAAGAAAUCAUAUUGGUAAACCAUAAUUACAGAAAGUGGUCAAUCACUCUGGGAAGAAAUAAAUCUAAACAAGUAUACA
rnacentral:lncRNA from 1 species